rnacentral:rRNA from 1 species
AUUGAACGCUGGCGGUAUGCUUAACACAUGCAAGUCGAACGAUGAGAAAGAGCUUGCUCUUUCGAUUAGUGGCGGACGGGUGCGUAACGCGUAGGAAUCUACCUAUUAGUGGGGGACAACUUAGGGAAACUUAAGCUAAUACCGCAUACGCCCUACGGGGGAAAGAAGGGGAUCGCAAGACCUUUUGCUAAUAGAUGAGCCUGCGUAGGAUUAGCUAGUUGGUGGGGUAAAAGCUCACCAAGGCGACGAUCCUUAACUGGUCUGAGAGAAUGAUCAGGCACACUGGAACUGAGACACGGUCCAGACUCCUACGGGAGGCAGCAGUGGGGAAUAUUGGACAAUGGGCGAAAGCCUGAUCCAGCAAUACCGCGUGUGUGAAGAAGGCCUUAGGGUUGUAAAGCACUUUCAAUUGGAAGGAAAACCUCGAAGCUAAUACCUUCGAGUUUGACAUUACCUUUAGAAGAAGCACCGGCUAACUCCGUGCCAGCAGCCGCCGUAA